UACGUAGGGUGCAAGCGUUGUCCGGAAUUAUUGGGCGUAAAGAGCUCGUAGGCGGUCUGUCGCGUCGAAUGUGAAAACCCGGGGCUCAACUCCGGGCCUGCAUUCGAUACGGGCAGACUAGAGUUCGGUAGGGGAGACUGGAAUUCCUGGUGUAGCGGUGAAAUGCGCAGAUAUCAGGAGGAACACCGGUGGCGAAGGCGGGUCUCUGGGCCGAUACUGACGCUGAGGAGCGAAAGCGUGGGGAGCGAACAGG
rnacentral:rRNA from 1 species